CAGCAGCCACGGGAAUACGUAGGGUGCGAGCGUUAAUCGGAAUUACUGGGCGUAAAGCGUGCGCAGGCGGUUUUGUAAGACAGGCGUGAAAUCCCCGGGCUCAACCUGGGAAUGGCGCUUGUGACUGCAAAGCUGGAGUGCGGCAGAGGGGGAUGGAACUCCGCGUGUAGCAGUGAAAUGCGUAGAUAUGCGGAGGAACACCGAUGGCGAAGGCAAUCCCCUGGGCCUGCACUGACGCUCAUGCACGAAAGCGUGGGGAGCAAACAGGAUUAGAUACCCCUGUAGUCCCUGUCUCUUAUAC
rnacentral:rRNA from 1 species